ensembl:lncRNA
CGGGCCAUGUGUUAGUUAAAUAUUGACGUGGUGUCUAAUGAUUAACGCGACUGCAAUUCCACAUUACAUUAACCUGCUCCUCUCAGUCACACACUCACUCUCUCACUCAGCGCCAACACCUUCACUCUGCUGCUACUGAGUGUGUGUAAAAGUGUGUGAGAGUGUGUGUCCUGUAUCAGAGACUCCUCGAGGGAACACCACUAUAGGUGAGUAAAUUUAUGAAUCUAUAGCACACAGACACACAAACACACACAAAGAGCAGGUAAUAGAGUGCAUAUGUUAAAUGUGUGUGUUUUUCAUGUUGACGUCCUGUAGUAAUUCAAGAAGUAAAUCCUGUUGCUCACCUGAGUGUGUGUAUGUGUGAGUGUACAUGUGUAUGUGUAUUAUUAAAUAUUAUAUAAAUACAGAUGAAACCUAUAUUAGCUUAAAUAUGAUGUUCCACUGUGAUGUAAUUAUUGAACACAGAAUCGAUGUGAAUGUGCAUGUCCUAAACCACACCCUAUUCACUACAUAGUGCACUAUUCAGGAGUCACAGUGUUCAGGAGACACAAUCCACACUCUAACAGAACGUACAUCAGUGUGUUUAAAUAUAGGGCUCUCAGGAGUGUGUGUGUGUGUGUGUGUGUGUGUGUGUGUGUGUGUGUGUGUGUGUAUGUGUGUGUGUGUGUGUAAGAUCAGAUUGUAAUGUGAAGACUGUGUGAGGAUGAGUGUGCUCCGGUGAGAGGAUAAAAUACACACACAGUGAACUUUGCUUAAUGACUUUAUUGUUUUGUUUUUCUGAAUAUCAACGAUAUUUACAGCCAGGCAAAGUCUAACACACACACACACACACACACACACACACACACACACACACACACACACACACACACACACACUGAGUCAGUAGAUGGACAGAAGGUUUUAUUUGUGUUUAAGAAGUGAUUCAUGAAGAAUUUAAAUCAAGCUAAGAGACACUGACACUGUUCUGUGUGUGUGUGUGUGUGUGUGUGUGUCUCUGUCUCUGUGUGUAUGUUAUCAGGAGCUCAGAGCCCUUUGCUCGGUGCAGCAUCAUAAACCCAGUCAUAAAGAGGAUAAGGAGGUCAAAGUCACACACACACACACACACACUGAGGUGAGCAACAGGAUUUGAAUUAUUGAAUUACAACAGGAAGUCAACAUGAAAAUGACACACAUUUAACAUAUACAUGUCUACUCUAUUACCU